rnacentral:rRNA from 1 species
GCAUAUCAAUAAGCGGAGGAAAAGAAACCAACAGGGAUUGCCCUAGUAACGGCGAGUGAAGCGGCAACAGCUCAAAUUUGAAAUCUGGCUCCUUUGGGGUCCGAGUUGUAAUUUGCAGAGGGUGCUUUGGCAUCGGCGGCGGUCUAAGUUCCUUGGAACAGGACAUCGCAGAGGGUGAGAAUCCCGUACGUGGGCGCCUGCCUUUGCCGUGUAAAGCCCCUUCGACGAGUCGAGUUGUUUGGGAAUGCAGCUCUAAAUGGGAGGUAAAUUUCUUCUAAAGCUAAAUACCGGCCAGAGACCGAUAGCGCACAAGUAGAGUGAUCGAAAGAUGAAAAGUACUUUGGAAAGAGAGUCAAAUAGCACGUGAAAUUGUUGAAAGGGAAGCGCUUGCAGCCAGACUUGCCCGCAGUUGCUCACCCAGGCUCCGGCCUGGGGCACUCUUCUGCGGGCAGGCCAGCAUCAGUUUGGGCGGUUGGAUAAAGGCCUCUGUCACGUAUCUCCCUUCGGGGUGACCUUAUAGGGGAGGCGCAAUGCAACCAGCCCGGACUGAGGUCCGCGCAUCUGCUAGGAUGCUGGCGUAAUGGCUGUAAGCGGCCCGUCUUGAAACACGGACCAAGGAGUCUAACAUCUAUGCGAGUGUUUGGGUGUCAAGCCCGGGCGCGUAAUGAAAGUGAACGGAGGUGGGAACCCUUUGGGUGCACCAUCGACCGAUCCUGAUGUCUUCGGAUGGAUUUGAGUAAGAGCAUAGCUGUUGGGACCCGAAAGAUGGUGAACUAUGCUUGAAUAGGGUGAAGCCAGAGGAAACUCUGGUGGAGGCUCGCAGCGGUUCUGACGUGCAAAUCGAUCGUCAAAUUUGGGCAUAGGGGCGAAAGACUAAUCGAACCAUCUAGUAGCUGGUUCCUGC